rnacentral:rRNA from 1 species
GCAUAUCAAUAAGCGGAGGAAAAGAAACCAACAGGGAUUGCCCUAGUAACGGCGAGUGAAGCGGCAACAGCUCAAAUUUGAAAUCUGGCAACAGCCCGAGUUGUAAUUUGCAGAGGAAGCUUCUGGCGACGCACUGUCUAAGUCCCCUGGAACGGGGCGCCACAGCGGGUGAGAGCCCCAUGUGAUGGCUGCGGACCCAGUGUGAAGCUCCUUCGACGAGUCGAGUAGUUUGGGAAUGCUGCUCAAAAUGGGAGGUAAAUUCCUUCUAAAGCUAAAUAUUGGCCAGAGACCGAUAGCGCACAAGUAGAGUGAUCGAAAGAUGAAAAGCACUUUGAAAAGAGGGUUAAACAGCACGUGAAAUUGUUGAAAGGGAAGCGCUCAUGACCAGACUUGCGCUGGGCUGAUCAUCCGGUGUUCUCACCGGUGCACUCUGCCCGGCUCAGGCCAGCAUCGGUUUUGGUGGGGGGAUAAAGGCGCCGGGAACGUAGCUCCUCCGGGAGUGUUAUAGCCCGGUGUGCAAUACCCCCGCUGGGACCGAGGUCCGCGCAUCGCAAGGAUG